rnacentral:rRNA from 1 species
AGAGUUUGAUUCUGGCUCAGAAUCAACGCUGGCGGCGCGCUUAACACAUGCAAGUCGAACGAGAAAGUCGCCCUUCGGGCGAUGAGUAAAGUGGCGGACGGGUGAGUAACACGUGGAUAACCUGCCCCUUUAGUGGGGAAUAACUCCGGGAAACUGGAGCUAAUACCGCAUAAGAUCCUUGGAUCUCAAGUUUCGAGGAUGAAAGCCUUAGGGCGCUGAAGGAGGGGUCCGCGGCCGAUUAGCUAGUUGGUAGGGUAAUGGCCUACCAAGGCUUCGAUCGGUAGCCGGCCUGAGAGGGCACACGGCCACACUGGCACUGAGACACGGGCCAGACUCCUACGGGAGGCAGCAGUGGGGAAUCUUGGACAAUGGGGGAAACCCUGAUCCAGCGACGCCGCGUGACUGAUGAAGCCUUUCGGGGUGUAAAGGUCUUUCAGUGGGGACAAUCAUGAUGGUACCCACAGAAGCAGCUGCGGCUAACUACGUGCCAGCAGCCGCGGUAAUACGUAGGCAGCAAGCGUUGUUCGGAAUUACUGGGCGUAAAGCGAGUGUAGGCGGUUUGCCGUGUCUGCCGUGAAAUCUCCCGGCUCAACUGGGAGGGUGCGGCGGAAACUGGCAGGCUAGAGUGCGGAAGAGGAAAGUGGAAUUCCUGGUGUAGCGGUGAAAUGCGUAGAUAUCAGGAGGAACACCGGUGGUGAAGACGGCUUUCUGGACCGCCACUGACGCUGAGACUCGAAAGCGUGGGGAGCAAACAGGAUUAGAUACCCUGGUAGUCCACGCCCUAAACGAUGCAUACUUGGUGUGGGUUCUUCACUGGAUCCGUGCCGGAGCUAACGCGUUAAGUAUGCCGCCUGGGGAGUACGGUCGCAAGGCUGAAACUCAAAUGAAUUGACGGGG